CAGUCGCCGCGGUAAUACGUAGGUGGCAAGCGUUGUCCGGAAUUAUUGGGCGUAAAGGGCUCGCAGACGGUUUCUUAAGUCUGAUGUGAAGGCCCCCGGCUCAACCGGGGAGGGUCAUUGGAAACUGGGAAACUUGAGUGCAGAAGAGGAGAGUGGAAUUCCACGUGUAGCGGUGAAAUGCGUAGAGAUGUGGAGGAACACCAGUGGCGAAGGCGACUCUCUGGUCUGUAACUGACGCUGAGGAGCGAAAGCGUGGGGAGCGAACAGGAUUAGAUACCCCCGUAGUCCCUGUCUCUUAUAC
rnacentral:rRNA from 1 species